ACUGGCAGCUAGCUCCUUGCAACUCUCACAUGGUCGCCCACUGAAGCUAAGCGGGGCUGCGCCCGAUCAGUAUCUGGUUGGGAGACCACAUGGGAAAGCUAGGUUGCUGCGGAAA
ensembl:rRNA 5S_rRNA 5S ribosomal RNA